UACGUAGGGUGCAAGCGUUGUCCGGAAUUAUUGGGCGUAAAGGGCUCGUAGGCGGUCCAUCGCGUCGGGAGUGAAAAGCUGGGGCUCAACCCCAGUCCUGCUUCCGAUACGGGUGGACUAGAGGUAUGCAGGGGAGAACGGAAUUCCUGGUGUAGCGGUGAAAUGCGCAGAUAUCAGGAAGAACACCAAUGGCGAAAGCAGCUUUCUGGGACGGUACUGACGCUGAGACGCGAAAGCGUGGGGAGCGAACAGG
rnacentral:rRNA from 1 species